rnacentral:tRNA from 1 species
GGCCGUGUGGCCUAAUGGAUAAGGCAUCAGACUUCGGAUCUGAGGAUUGCAGGUUCGAGUCCUGUCACGGAUA